GUUGCAGGAUCUCACGGGCUUUAAACUGCGGCUCCGCGGCGCGCGGGUGCGGAUCCCCAGAUGGGAGCUGGGGAUGGGUUGGUUGCCCGGCGGGUGGCAAGUUGCCGCCUCGGGCCCCGGAGACCUUCACCCCGCCGCCUACCCAGGCGGGCCGGCCCUGCCCGUCCACCGGCGGCCGAGAGUCCCCGGCCUUGGGCCCCAGGAGCCGCUGACUGGCCUCGGUCAACUCUCGGGGAAGACUCCCGCGUCUCCAUCUGCCCCAGGAAGGGACCCGCUUCUCGCCCGCGAGGCUUCUCCAGGUGGGAUCGCCCUGGCCCCCGGCCCUAAGGGACCCGCCCCCUCCGAGCAUCCACCGCCCCUCGGAGACCACUCCAGCUCAGAGGGACCCACUCCAGCCACCGCUGCACGCGGGAGCUCUCAUCCUUCCCACCUGCUCCGUCCCUCCUCCUCCUCCUGUGGGACCACCAGAGACCCCAGCUCCCCGCUCCCCAAGUGUGGGGCCUCCGACGCGAACGCCUCUGCUCGCAAGGCGGUGAGCGCAGAUCCCACGGGGCCCUCGGUCGGGGGUCAAGGCUGCCUCCGUUUCCAUCCCGGACCCGACAAUGGGCCGGAAAAAGACUUUGCACGACUGCGCGGCGGAGUUCACCGACCUGGUGGUGUAGCAGCCCCUGACUGAGCACAGUGACUCUGGGGACACGUCUGUGGUGGAGACUCUUUCCUGCACGGCCUGCGAGCUGCCUAUGCGCGUGCCCAGGGACCGCAUCCCGGAGCACCUGUCCUCGGGCAGGCACUACAGGAACCGCAGACUCAUCCGCAGCACGGCCUGCGGACGCCCAUUCUCGUCUCGGCCGCCUCGGAUCUCACUGCCACCGGCCUUCACGCACACCCUCGCCACCAGCCUUUGGCCCGUCAGCCUCAGCCCCAGCUCAUUCCCUCAGGCAGUCCCAGCAUUGGCAUGGUACCUCCUCCCGCCGUGGGCCUCACGUCUCUGCUCCCUGUCAACCCUACUGCCAUCAGCAUCACCACAAGCGACUUGUCUGCCCAGGAGGAUGCAACACCAUCUACCUCCACCGGCCACCUUUCAGUGUUUUCUGCUUUCCAAGUAAAGACACCAGCAGUGCCCUCGGAGCGGACCAGCCAGAGAUUUUCGGAAGCCUCCCAUAGGCUCCUCCGUGGAGGAGGCCUGAGAUGGUGUCAUGACUUUGGAGCCAGGGUGGCCGACCACCUUGGCCUGGCCAUCUUUGGGGUGGGCUUUGGGAGCCCAGCACUGCUGCCAAGUGUGGUGGAUGAGAACGGCUGCUGCUUGCUGUACGUGGUGGAGCUGUGUGGCGUGGAGCGAGCCUUCAGAGCUGAGCAUUUGGCCAACACCAGAGUGGUUCGGGAACAGGAUGCCGACAUUGUCCUCAACGACCAGCGCGUCUCUGGAGUAGUUGUCUGCUCCCCGCCGGAGGCAGCUUCUGAAAUCGUGAUGCAUGCUCUCCGAGCAGGGAAGGGGGUGCUUUGCGAGAGGCUGCCGAGUUUGAAUUGUCAGGCUGCCCAGUCCUGCUUCGACGAAGCCGACGGACGUGGAAAGCCUUUGGUCUGUGGAUUUUACAAGUGGGAUUUUCCACAACGCUGCUGUGCGCAGCGUGGAUGCCACAUGCAUGUUGCUGGGGGAUGCCACUUCGGACACUGUUUUCUCUGGGACAUGCCUUCUGCCCAGAUAUGGCUGCCUUAA
rnacentral:lncRNA from 1 species